GAGGAGUGGCUUUCGGAGCUAACGCGUUAAAUCGACCGCCUGGGGAGUACGGCCGCAAGGUUAAAACUCAAAUGAAUUGACGGGGGCCCGCACAAGCGGUGGAGCAUGUGGUUUAAUUCGAUGCAACGCGAAGAACCUUACCUACUCUUGACAUCCAGAGAACUUAGCAGAGAUGCUUUGGUGCCUUCGGGAACUCUGAGACAGGUGCUGCAUGGCUGUCGUCAGCUCGUGUUGUGAAAUGUUGGGUUAAGUCCCGCAACGAGCGCAACCCUUAUCCUUUGUUGCCAGCGAUUCGGUCGGGAACUCAAAGGAGACUGCCGGUGAUAAACCGGAGGAAGGUGGGGAUGACGUCAAGUCAUCAUGGCCCUUACGAGUAGGGCUACACACGUGCUACAAUGGCGUAUACAAAGAGAAGCGACCUCGCGAGAGCAAGCGGAACUCAUAAAGUACGUCGUAGUCCGGAUUGGAGUCUGCAACUCGACUCCAUGAAGUCGGAAUCGCUAGUAAUCGUAGAUCAGAAUGCUACGGUGAAUACGUUCCCGGGCCUUGUACACACCGCCCGUCACACCAUGGGUGUGGGUUGCAAAAGAAGUAGGUAGCUUAACCUUCGGGAGGGCGCUUACCACUUUGUGAUUCAUGACUGGGGUGAAGUCGUA
rnacentral:rRNA from 1 species